GAAUGAGUGAAUGGGCUGUAGGAAGCUCUGAGGAUGAAGCUUGUGAAGCCACAGGCUGUGGAGUUUGGGGCUUCCUGGGGGUAGAAUUUAGGAGGUCCACAGUGGCUUCUAUCAGCUGUGCUGAGGAGAGAAGAGCCAGGCAAAUUGCCCGCUGCCAGCCUUCUCGGGGAGGAAAGGUAGGCAGCAGCAUCGGUGGGGAUUGCGCUAACUCAAGGUGCCAGCUCCAUGCUGCUCUGGGGCUGGCCAGCGCUCUGGAUGUCAUUAGCUGAUUUGUUCUGCUCUGCAGAAUGUACUUUUCAUAUUUAGGCAGAAAAAAACAGCUUUCGAUCCUUGUGCCCUUUCUUCUGUGAGCUGUAGCACAUGGCCUGCUAAUUAUGAAUUAAUCCUCUAAAGAGCAUGUUCAUUAUUCUAAUUUAAUUGUGCUUCGUUUCAGAAAAUAACUAAACCCAGCGUGGAAUAAACUCCAAUGCUGAUCAGUUUUCAAGAAGUUAACAUAAGACAAAAUUCUGCUAGAGGGCAGCAGCAAUUUGGAAUCAUUAAAGGGAACCCAUGUAAAUAAUAAAAACAAAACUAAAAUGCAGAAUUAAAUUAAGGAAUAGGAAAUUAAAUUUGGGAAUCUAAUCUAAAAUUGAGGCCUUAUAUGCACAGGCUUACCCUGGCUUGGCUCUUCGCUCAGGAGUGCUCAGGAGAGGAGGUUCUGCAGAGUUUCCCACGACCAGGGAAGCGGCAGUCCCUCCUGGGUGGCAGUUUGCUGUUCUGGGAAGAGAGAUGUGGGCUGAAGUGGGAGAAAGGGGGCUUUCCUCCCACGGGGUCAACUGUGAUGAAGAUGAAAGCCACAUUGUCACAGAUGCAUCUGGAUAGCUCAUCCUGAGCCCUGGUGACCGGUUCAGGAGAACUGCCUGCAGCCAAGAGUCCAAGCUGCCACUCACUAGGAGGAAGCACAGGAAAUGAGGCAGAUGGUGCUGGGUGGCUGCUGGCCUGAGAUGCUGGGAGUGGUCAGCCCUGGGCAAAGAAGCCGCGCCAGCCCUCCUUCACCUUUGGGCCCUGGGCACCCUUCCACAGGUGACCCAGCUCAGGACAGAGGCUGAGGGAGUUUCCUCCUGCCCGGGCAGUGGCCCCUAAGCAGGGUCCUGGCCUCCCCACCAUCACCGUGAGAGCCCAGUUACAGAUGGAGGAGACCCGGACUCCAGCAGCAUCAUGACAGGUGGUGAAACUGAGGACAGAGGGUGAUAAGGGCUUGCUCAAGGUCAUACAGCAAGGUGGUGCAAGAGUCAGAACCAACACACAGAUCUUCAGACUCCCAGUUCAAGGUAUCAAGAGAUGCCCAUGGGAGCAGGGUGUGAUUCAUGAGCUCUUCGUGCACAGCUGUCCCAUUCCUGAGAAGGGUCUGACAGAUUCUGAGCACGGCACUCAAGCCAAAAGGAAUCCCUCUCGAUUUAGAAAUCUUCAGCCACUCCCUGGAAAAUGAGGAAUAGAGCCUAGAGAAUGCGGCAGAGAAAAAGAGGAGAAACUGAAGAAGGGACUAAAUAAGGCAAGGCUGGAUCAGAAAAGAUUGACUCUGAGGACUAAGAGAAACUGAAGCUGGGACCCAGCAGGGUGCUAUUGACCUCCAAGUCCUUUCUCCACAUUCCCCCAUCUGCCCAACUUCCACAGCUCAGGGGUCUUUUCUCCUAGGGUUGAAAUAUGAAUGGCUCUAAAAUUUCCCAGUGAAAACCAUCCAUGAAGUUGUGUGUGGGAAAUGAAAUGCCAGCCCGUGGGUGUCAGCAACUGUGAAGAAAGCGUGGCAUCCACGCUCACCUGGGCUUCCUUUGGUUUGCCUCAUUAAUCAGCUCCCCAGGUCAUCGGCACGUCUCGCCUCAGGCUCACAGGUCUGGUUUUUGUAUAAUACACAUUUCCCCCAGUUUUUAUUUCAUCUGUUUUUUUCAAGCAGCCUUUCCAUUAUUUCUGAACAUUUGAGUUAAAAAAAUGUAAAUUACAGACGCCUGCGGAUUGACGUAAUGUGAAAAGAAGGCGGCUGUUUCCCCUUCCUCCAAACAGGGGACAUGGCUUUUCAAACUAAUAAACCCCU
rnacentral:lncRNA from 10 species